AGUGAACGCUGGCGGUAGGCCUAACACAUGCAAGUCGAACGGCAGCACAGUAAGAGCUUGCUCUUACGGGUGGCGAGUGGCGGACGGGUGAGGAAUACAUCGGAAUCUACUUUUUCGUGGGGGAUAACGUAGGGAAACUUACGCUAAUACCGCAUACGACCUACGGGUGAAAGCAGGGGAUCUUCGGACCUUGCGCGAUUGAAUGAGCCGAUGUCGGAUUAGCUAGUUGGCGGGGUAAAGGCCCACCAAGGCGACGAUCCGUAGCUGGUCUGAGAGGAUGAUCAGCCACACUGGAACUGAGACACGGUCCAGACUCCUACGGGAGGCAGCAGUGGGGAAUAUUGGACAAUGGGCGCAAGCCUGAUCCAGCAAUACCGCGUGGGUGAAGAAGGCGUUCGGGUUGUAAAGCCCUUUUGUUGGGAAAGAAAAGCAGCAGGUUAAUACCCCGCUGUUCUGACGGUACCCAAAGAAUAAGCACCGGCUAACUUCGUG
rnacentral:rRNA from 1 species